GCCUGGCUAGCUCAGUUGGUAGCGCAUGGGACUCUUAAUCCCAGGGUCAUGGGUUCAAGCCCCAUGUUGGGUG
rnacentral:tRNA from 1 species